GUAAUGAAGUCUUUUAAGAUGACUUUACAUUUAUUCACACAUGUUUGAUCAAACAGGAUGAUGUUCAGAAACAGCUGAGGGACACUCUGCUGGAAUCUAUUGAGGUGUCAUUCAACCCAGACCAACAGUUAUUCCCAGAUUUUGAGAAUGAGUUUGAGUUGGUGAAGAAACACUAUGAUGACCUGAGUCCAAAGAAGAAGACGUAGUAGUGUUUUAGAUGUGAUCUGUUGAAGAUGUUGUGAGUGGAAGCAGAAGAUGAACUGUAGCCUGCCACAUUCGACCAGACAACAAUGAACAACAGAGCAACUCAUCUCCUGUUUUUCUCAGCUUUUCAAUAUUUACUGAUGUUUUCAUAUAGUAUGUAUGUUUGUAGAUUUUUUAAACCAGUAGUGAAUCUUGCCACUUCCCCCUCCCCUCGUCAUGUGUCUGUUCUGUUUUCUUAUCAGCUGGUGCACUGUUAGACAUGAGUAGUCAUGUUAUGUGAGAAUACAAUAGGGCUGGGUUGCCCAAACUUAUUUUAAAAAAAUCUUUGAAUCUUUACAUAAUAUUUUAACUUUUAGUGUAUUGUGGAAGGAAAUGUGUAAUUGUUUUUAAUCACUGUAUAGCAUGUUAUAAAUAAUGGUACUUUUUAUUUUAGCCAACAAAAUUCUAAACAGGGAACAACUUGUCAAACAUUGUUAAGUCAAAAAGCCGAGCCCCUGCACCAAGUCUUCACCUCCACUCCUGGGCCCUGUCUCCUCUCACCUCUGCUCCCUCCUCUUCCUCCUCACCGCUCCUCCCCUCUCCCCUCCCCUUUUUAUGAGUUGAUGAGGUUAUUUUUAGUCUGGCCAGUAGGUGGCAGCAAGACCAAAACACCAGGUAACCAGGUGUGUCUCUGGAAUCAUUUCAUUAGGCCCAGGUGUGCAAACAAAUCAAACCAAACCAAGGAAUGUGAAGGAAACAGAGACACUGGUGAGGAAAUUUACCUUUAAAAUUAGUUUUAAGUUUAAAAGAAAUUGUAAAUAAAUUCAAUUUAAGAUUGAAG